rnacentral:lncRNA from 1 species
GAGGGAACCUGGCAGCUUUGUCCUUCACCAGCUGGAAUUUAUGUAAGGCCUUAUGGAACAAGUCAGCCAACAGGGAGUUACAAUAAUCUAAUCUUCGUGGCCUGGAUACUGCCUUGCAUGAGCAGCUUGCAUAAGUAAAGCAUGUUUCAGUUUCCUGCUAUGGAGUUGAGAACACAGAGGUAUUGCACUGGUUUCCCUUGUGUGACUAGACUUCUCUGAGAAAGACAAGAUCCUCAUUUCCUUUAUCUGACUAACUGAUUUGAAUAUUC